AACGUAGGGGACAAGCGUUAUCCGGAUUUACUGGGCGUAAAGCGCCCGUAGGCGGCUUUUUAAGUUGGACGUGAAAGCUCCUGGCUUAACUGGGAGAGGCCGUUCAAAACUGAGAAGCUGGAGUGAGGCAGAGGAGUGCGGAAUUCCCGGUGUAGUGGUGGAAUGCGUAGAUAUCGGGAGGAACACCAGUGGCGAAAGCGGCACUCUGGGCCUAAACUGACGCUGAGGGGCGAAAGCGUGGGGAGCGAACGGGAUUAGAAACCCCCGUAGUCC
rnacentral:rRNA from 1 species